ensembl:ncRNA T27B1.4 ncRNA
AGAUCGGUAUCUUAAAUUGAUGAGAACUUUUGUGGAGAGGGGAAAGAAGCUUGACACGAACCCUAAAAAGCAGCUGUGAAUGGAUGUGAUGCGCGAUCAUAGUUCGGGUCCAGCAGCAGCAGCAGCUUCAGAUGG